UACAGAGGGUGCAAGCGUUGUUCGGAAUUAUUGGGCGUAAAGCGCGUGUAGGCGGCUUUGCAAGUCGGGUGUGAAAGCCCUCAGCUCAACUGAGGAAGUGCGCCCGAAACUGCAGAGCUUGAGUACCGGAGAGGAUGGCGGAAUUCCCCAAGUAGAGGUGAAAUUCGUAGAUAUGGGGAGGAACACCCGUGGCGAAGGCGGCUCUCUGGAACGCAACUGACGCUGAGACGCGAAAGCGUGGGGAGCAAACAGG
rnacentral:rRNA from 1 species